rnacentral:lncRNA from 1 species
AUCUAUUCUUGUAGAUUUUUUUUGUGUGGGUCUAUGUUUCAUUCAUCUGCUUUCAGGCUGGAUUUAUAACAAGCAGAACUUUUAAAACGGUAUGAUUUUAAAAUAAAAUUAAAAAAAAAACACGCUGAGAUCUUUCCAUAGCUUUGGCUUCUGGGAGUUGAAAGCGCAGCUUCAGGAAAAAGAGGACCUUAGAACUGAAGGAGCAAGAUUCCAACAUCACACUGUUUUUGUUAGCUGUGUGUGUGUGUUUCCUGUGUAUCCAAAAGACAGAGGAGAUGAAAAAGCAAAAGAAAAGAAACGAGGAAUCAGAUUGGAAAGAGUAUGAGUUUGUACUUAUGAAAUAAAACUUUUAUCUCUCUA